GCCAGACUCCUACGGGAGGCAGCAGUGAGGAAUAUUGGUCAAUGGGCGAGAGCCUGAACCAGCCAAGUCGCGUGAAGGAUGACGGCCCUACGGGUUGUAAACUUCUUUUGUCAGGGAGCAAUUGAGUCCACGUGUGGGCUUAGCGAGAGUACCUGAAGAAAAAGCAUCGGCUAACUCCGUGCCAGCAGCCGCGGUAAUACGGAGGAUGCGAGCGUUAUCCGGAUUUAUUGGGUUUAAAGGGUGCGUAGGCGGGAUGCCAAGUCAGCGGUAAAAAUGCGGUGCUCAACGCCGUCGAGCCGUUGAAACUGGCGUUCUUGAGUGGGCGAGAAGUAUGCGGAAUGCGUGGUGUAGCGGUGAAAUGCAUAGAUAUCACGCAGAACUCCGAUUGCGAAGGCAGCAUACCGGCGCCCAACUGACGCUCAGGCACGAAAGCGUGGGUAUCGAACAGGAUUAGAUACCCUAGUAA
rnacentral:rRNA from 1 species